UAACACGAACAAUUUUAAGUAUUACUCAUAUGUCGUUCACUUACAAAUAUAUUCCACAGGUAUGAAAUAUUCCACAGUUGCUGUCUUUCAAUUACGAAACUAUUCUGCCAUUACAAAUCUCUGCUUCUCGCACAAGUAUUUUCUACAAGUAUACAAAUACUUUUGAGACUGUUCUGGCGCUUCCUGUUGAAUAGCCAAUGGCGAUCCUUAAGUUUGGCUAGCCAACCAUGAAUCUCAGUUCACUAACCAAUCACAGAGUAGGAGCAGCGCCGUCGUUGUCUGUGGGUGCAACCAAACUUGGAGUCUACGCUUGAAGCACGCUAGUUUCCUGUAUUCUUUGAGGUAUGUUGGUAGCCUACACCACACAGACAUGUUCUAUGUCCACUAUUCCUUGUUAAUACAGCCAGUGUACCUGAUAUACGGGGCAACGAGGUGAGAUCAAUCAAUGGCAACUAAUGCUGUGGGCAACAGACAAAUAACUAUUAUAUAUAGCAAGCUACAGCUAGUUAGCCAAAUCCCACUCAAUCUCAAUGUGUAGAAUAGCAAUGGUAGCUAAAUUGUCAGUUUAAGCAGCAUACAAGUGCGAACGGAAAUGUAGUGUGUGGAUGGAAAUAGAUAACAACACUCAACAUACUUUUGAAGACAUUUUGUUUCAAGUUUGUAACAAAUGCGGUCAAAGUUUUAAGGGAGUUUGUCAGUCGGUCAUAAGGUAGGCUCAGCAAAAACGAGGCGGGCGGCUAGCAUUAUUAUCAAGAGGUGUGCUAACCAUUAGGCCUUGUAUGUCAGGUCUACCUCCAGAUUGUUAGGUGCUACUUCGGACUUGACGAACUCUUAUAAUAGGCAACCGAAACUCCUCACUGCAGAAAAACCGUAGUAGGUUUGAUGCUCAACAGAUUGCUCUGGAGUUAGUUAUAAGUUAAUAAGUAUCCAUUGAUAUGUGUGACAAAACAUACCAACUGGUGUCAACAUCAGCUAGGCUAUGUUGGCAUUUUCUGAUGGUUCUUCAUGACUGAUCAUAAGGUACAAAAUAAAUAAUACAGAAAUACAGUGCUGGGCAUUGGUAGACAAUCAUAUUCAUCUGUCAUUAUGUAUCUAUUUCUUCUGUGUAAGCAGUUUCUUAUGGAUCCCCAGUUGCUGCCUCCUGAAGCACAGGUUAUUAGAAAGGCUGAAAACCAGACUGGAACAGUCUCUUCAAAGGCAGCCUCUGGAUCUGGACUAUUUAGAGUUCCUCUGUACCAGUGAGUUGAGCCUAGUUCACUGAGUAGUCACACGCCAUUUCCAGAAGAGGUCAUUGGCAGACGGGAAAAGCAGGCCUUAAAAGAGGGCUACAGGAUACUGGGGUGCUCCCAAUGAUAACAGAACGGCCAGAACUGGCUAGAGUUCUGUUCCCACGAGGUGCCUCAUCUCUGAUGAAUCCUAAGAUGAUUUUGAAAAGAGUGGUUUGACCAGAUGAGGCGGAGGUUGACGAAGAUGAAAUGGAAGACUCAUGCCGUGUCACAGCCUACCUCAGACAAAAUGUUGUAAGUGGUAUGACAAAUAUUUCCUAAGACCCCCCCCCCCCAGAUUUUGAAACCUGGCUGAUCAGAGUUGGAUUUGAUGAGAGAUCUGUACUUGAACCACUCGCAGACUGAGAAAUAUGUGAAAAUAUUUUUUCAAAAGUAUCUUUUGUGAUUGUGACCAGAAUGUAUGACACCUUCAAAGAAGCUAUGGAUGCAGCGCUGAAAUAAAGCAAUUAUGGUUUUGGCUUGA